CCUACGGGAGGCAGCAGUGAGGAAUAUUGGUCAAUGGGCGGGAGCCUGAACCAGCCAAGUCGCGUGAGGGAAUACGGUCCUAUGGAUUGUAAACCUCUUUAGGCGGGGAGCAAUGCCGGGCACGUGUGCCCGGAGGGAGAGUACCCGCAGAAUAAGCAUCGGCUAACUCCGUGCCAGCAGCCGCGGUAAUACGGAGGGGGCGAGCGUUAUCCGGAUUUACUGGGUGUAAAGGGUGCGUAGACGGCAAGGCAAGCCAGAAGUGAAAGGGCAGGGCUCAACCCUGUACGUGCCGUUGGAACUGGGGUGCUAGAGUGCAGGAGAGGUAAGUGGAAUGCGUGGUGUAGCGGUGAAAUGCGUAGAUAUUAGGAAGAACCCCAGUGGCGAAGGCAGCUUACUGGACUGUAACUGACGUUGAGGCUCGAAAGCGCGGGGAUCAAACAGGAUUAGAUACCCCUGUAGUC
rnacentral:rRNA from 1 species